rnacentral:lncRNA from 1 species
GCUGGAUGAAGGUGUUUGCCCUGCAGCCGGGGCUGGUUGGGAUCCAGGCCCUCAGGAGUGGUCUGUACCUGUGUAUGAGCAGCGAUGGGAGCGCCCACGGCUCGGGCCGCUUCACAGCCGACUGCCUGUUCAAGGAGACCCUGGAGGAGAGUCACCACACCAGCUACGCCUCUGUCUCGCACCCGGGCCUUUACCUGGCCCUGUCCAAGCAAGGGGAGGUCAAACGGGUCACUGGCAGGACGAAGAAGCACCCUGGUAUCCUCUUCCUGCCACGGCUCAGGGAGUGACCCAGGCGGAGCCACCGGAGAGCCCUCCCUCCAAGCCAGCGAACCGUUUCCAUGGUGACGGCACAAUGCUGGAAACUGGAUUAUCACACAUAUAACCCAAAGGAGAGAUUAUUAGAUGUCGGACAUCAGAAUCACAGGGGAAGGUUCCAGAACCUAUGCUCUUGUUCACAGUGGAGAACACGGGGACAGGUGUGUGUGUGUGUGUGUGUGUGUGUGUGUGUGUGUGUGUGUGUGUGUGUGUGUGUGUGUGUGUGUGUGUGUGUGUGCGUGCGUGCGCGCACAUGAUGCAACUGGACCCAUCUUAAAGUGUAGAUGUUGCAAAUGAAAAAGUUAUUUAGUCAGAAAACCGAAAUGGAUUUGUACCAUGUCUACGCUUGAUGUUUUUUACUGUUGUUUAGUUCCAUUUCUGUUAAUGACUAUAAGCGCUGUACCUCACACUUCAUCCGAGGGAGUUUUACAAGGGCAAGAUGUUCGGAGCAGCUGGACCUGCAAGAGCGAAAAGCCCUGAAGUCAUAUGUGCUGCACGUCCACAGCGGCUGUUUACUUACCUUAGUAUGUAUGUAUAUUUGUAUUUAUUUAUUUAUUUAUUUUUGUACUUAUACUGUUGGAGGAACGGGGGUUGGCUGCUGGGGUGGCGUUGUCAACCAUUGUUACAACCAGAAGUUCUGGAAGGUUCCAGAAAACUCUUCAGUGGCUGCAAUGUGCUCUUCAUACACUAUAUUACCAUUAGAAAUUAUUUAAUUUGAUCUGAUUUAAUUAAUUAGCCUAAUUUAUUCUUCACCCUGGUGUCCUAAUGGAGCCCGAAUCAAUAAAGAGUUUUUCACGUGUUUUUGGAUUUCA